rnacentral:rRNA from 1 species
AACGGCAGCACAGGAAGAGCUUGCCUCUUACGGUGUGGCGAUGUGGCGGACGGUGUGAAGAAUACCUCGGAAUCUACUUUCUCGUGGGGGAUAACGUAGGGAAACUUACGCUAAUACCGUAUACGACCUACGGGUGAAAGCAGGGGAUCUUCGGCCCUUGCGCGAUUGAAUGACCCGAUCUCAGAUUAUCUAGUUGGCGGGGUAAAGGCCCACCAGGGCGACGAUCCGUAUCUGGUCUGAGAGGAUGAUCAGCCACACUGGAACUGAGACACGGUCCAGACUCCUACGGGAGGCAGCAGUGGGGAAUAUUGGACAAUGGGCGCAAGCCUGAUCCAGCCAUACCGCGUGGGUGAAGAAGGCCUUCGGGUUGUAAAGCCCUUUUGUUGGGAAAGAAAUCCAGCCGGCUAAUACCUGGUUGGGAUGACGGUACCCAAAGAAUAAGCACCGGCUAACUUCGUGCCAGCAGCCGCGGUAAUACGAAGGGUGCAAGCGUUACUCGGAAUUACUGGGCGUAAAGCGUGCGUAGGUGGUUGUUUAAGUCUGUUGUGAAAGCCCUGGGCUCAAGCCUGGGAACUGCAGUGGAAACUGGACGACUGAGAUGUGGUAGGGG